GACGAACGCUGGCGGCGUGCCUAAUACAUGCAAGUCGAACGAGAGCGACCGGUGCUUGCACUGGUCAAUCUAGUGGCGAACGGGUGAGUAACACGUGGGUAACCUGCCCAUCAGAGGGGGAUAACAUUCGGAAACGGAUGCUAAAACCGCAUAGGUUCUACAGUCGCAUGACUGAAGAAGGAAAAGAGGCUUCGGCUUCUGCUGAUGGAUGGACCCGCGGUGCAUUAGCUAGUUGGUGAGGUAACGGCCCACCAAGGCCGUGAUGCAUAGCCGACCUGAGAGGGUGAUCGGCCACAUUGGGACUGAGACACGGCCCAAACUCCUACGGGAGGCAGCAGUAGGGAAUCUUCCGCAAUGGACGCAAGUCUGACGGAGCAGCGCCGCGUGAGUGAAGAAGGAUUUCGGUUCGUAAAACUCUGUUGUUAGAGAAGAACAGCGCAUAGAGUAACUGUUAUGCGUGUGACGGAUCUAACCAGAAAGC
rnacentral:rRNA from 1 species